UACGUAGGGGCGAGCGUUGUCCGGAUUUAUUGGGCGUAAAGAGCUCGUAGGCGGUUCGAUAAGUCGGACGUGAAAUCUCCACGCUCAACGUGGAGGGGCCGUUCGAUACUGUCGUGACUCGAGUCCGGUAGGGGAGUGUGGAAUUCCCGGUGUAGCGGUGAAAUGCGCAGAGAUCGGGAGGAACACCCGUAGCGAAGGCGGACACUCGUGGGCCGGUAC
rnacentral:rRNA from 1 species